rnacentral:rRNA from 1 species
ACGGGACUCUUCGGAGUUCAGUGGCGGACGGGUGAGUAACGCGUGAGAAUCUGCCUAGAGGAUGGGGACAACCACGGGAAACUGUGGCUAAUACCCAAUGAGCGGAGACGUUAAAGAUUUAUCGCCUCUAGAGGAGCUCGCGUCUGAUUAGCUAGUUGGUGGGGUAAAAGCCUACCAAGGCGACGAUCAGUAGCUGGUCUGAGAGGACAACCAGCCACACUGGGACUGAGACACGGCCCAGACUCCUACGGGAGGCAGCAGUGGGGAAUUUUCCGCAAUGGGCGAAAGCCUGACGGAGCAAUACCGCGUGAGGGAGGAAGGCUCUUGGGUCGUAAACCUCUUUUCUCAGGGAAGAAGAAAGUGACGGUACCUGAGGAAUCAGCCUCGGCUAACUCCGUGCCAGCAGCCGCGGUAAUACGGAGGAGGCAAGCGUUAUCCGGAAUUAUUGGGCGUAAAGCGUCCGUAGGUGGCUCUUCAAGUCUGCUGUCAAAGAGUGGGGCUUAACUCCAGAAAGGCAGUGGAAACUGAAAGGCUAGAGAGCCGUAGGGGUAGAGGGAAUUCCCGGUGUAGCGGUGAAAUGCGUAGAGAUCGGGAAGAACAUCGGUGGCGAAAGCGCUCUACUGGACGGUAUCCGACACUGAGGGACGA